rnacentral:rRNA from 1 species
AAACCUGAGAAACCGAAAGGUCGAAGGAAGAAAUUCAUCGCGUUAUCGAUGUUGACGAUGAAUGUUUAGUGUGACAAUUUACGUUUUUUUAACGUUGAUUGCGCCUUUCAUUUUUCAUUUUGAACAACGAACGUGUGCACUUUUCUUCUGGUAGAACGUCGCGAUCCGUUGGGUGUCGGUCUACGAUUUGCAUUAGAGAUCAAAUGAUCAAGGUUUUAUUGCUUUGAACCGUUUGAACUUGCAUAUCUUUCCGACCGACUCGCUUGACGGUAUACGAACGGUUUAGGGCCGCUGCUGUAAAAAGCGUUCGACUCUGGGCAAGCGCGCCAGUUGUUUCGAUGAUUGGACUUGUGCUGAUCCCGUUCACUGGUGACUGUUGGCCUAGAUGUUUUCGAACCGACCCAUUUCUUUUUGCAAGAAAAGAAAUAAAAACCGAUCUGCGGCGCUAUAGCUUUGGGUACUUUCAGGACCCGUCUUGAAACACGGACCAAGGAGUCUAGCAUGUACGCAAGUCAUUGGGAGUAAUUAAACCUAAAGGCAAAAUGAAAGUAAAGAUUUUCCUUGCGAGAAUCUAGGGAGGACGAGUGGUUUUCGUUAAAAAAAUCGCUUUGCACUCCCGGGGCGUCUCAUUCUCAUUGCGAGAAGAGGCGCACCAAGAGCGUACACGCUGGGACCCGAAAGAUGGUGAACUAUGCCUGGUCAGGACGAA